rnacentral:misc_RNA from 1 species
GGGAUUGAGGAUUAGUGUAAGUUGAACCUUAUAAAUGUCAAAUCUGUUUCAUAUUCGCAGAAUAUAGAAAGGUAUAGAAAGCAUAAGUGUCACAUAUGGCAUAAAGACAGCCAGAGGUAGUGAAAGACUAAUUACAGAAGGGCAAGCACCAAGACCAUGGCAUAGGGCGGUAUAGAUGGCCACAAAACUUGCAAGGACAGCCAAACAGUCCACUAAACAUGGACAACAUCUUCUCCAAACAGAAAAAUGGUCAUCAGAAAAGCAAGAACAUCUCAUCAAGGUUGAGUUUCAUCACAAAAGCAAGAACGUCAUCGAAACUUGAGUUUCCAAAACAGAAGAAAUUCAAAGAAACUUGUCAAGACUUCAUAAUUGAUUUCCUUCGACAACAGUCAACUCUUUUUUACCCUAGAAUAAUUGGAAGAUGAAUGUCGUGACAUGACCGAGCAGUAGCAUGAAGAGUCUUCAAGAUGAAUUAAUAUCAGUGAUAUCAGAAGAUAACAUGAAUGGAAUGUGAUGGUGAAAAUGAUUAACCCUGUGAACCAGAGUUUGGACCGCGCCCACCACGACCACUGCGCCCACUGCGACCUCGAAGAACUCGCCCACGGCCUCUUGCUGGUGUAGCGGAAAGCAUAGCAGCUUGCCUAAUGGAAGCCCUUUCUCUAGCCCUCUCAUUUAGGUUUAUAGUUCUUGAGCUCCUAUUGAUAGGUGAAACCUGUUUCCCUUCUUCUGUUUCAGCAGCAGCACUUUCAUCCAGACCCCCUUCUUUUGAAUUGCUACUAUCAACUGGACUGCUUGAUGGUUUCUCACCAGUAACAGUAUCCAGAGCCUGAUCAGUUUCUGCAGCAACCUGGUCACCACCAUCAUUCAACUUCUCAGAACUUUCAGCUAGCUCUUCUGUCGCAUCAACUUCAUCAUUCUUAUCGUCAUCUGGGAGCUGAGAAGAUUCUAUCUCCCCGGGGUCUGUUGGAGUAAGCAAGAGGUCUUCAUCAGUACCAGCUAAGUCAUCAGUCUGAGGUUCCAAAUUUUCUGGGCUUCCCAUUGAUAAAAUGCUAUCAAGGUUUCCAACAUCUUCAGGAUCAGCAAUUAGCUCUCCCUCUUCCCUUUCAUCCAUCGCUAGCUGCUCGCUCUCUUGUUGCACCUGUGACUCAGCCUGAUUUGUUGCAACAACUAACGGCUCUUCAACCUGCUCGCCAGAAAGUGUAGUCUCAUCCUUCUCAAUAUCACUAGCUUCCUCUUUCAAACCUUGGGUUUCAUCUCCAGCAUCAUGUUCCUCCGUAGUAGGCAGAGAUUCUGAAUUUUCUACAUUAUCAACAGAUUUAUCUUCACCGCCCUCUUGAGGUGCCUCUAGAUGUUUGGACUUCUUAAGCACAGGUUGAGCCACAUCUAAGCAGGUUUCAUCCAUGGCAGGAGUCUCUUCUUGUAACUCUGAGGUAGAGGAGGUAGAGGCUGCAGAUAGGCGCUUGCGAAUUGGUGGUUGAGUUGGUAAUGUGGCAUUAUCAAGAUUUUCUGCCUUUUGAGGUGGCAAAUGCUUCCUACUGUUGGUGGAUUCAUCUGUAUCUUGCAUCUCUACAUCAACUAAAGGUUCCUCCGGCUUUGUGAUGCGUGGUCGAACCAACUUCCUUCCGGUUUUACGAGUUUCGGAGGUUAUCUUCGAUAAAACAAGUCUUCUUUCUUCUUCUGCUUUUCCAACUGCAGGAAUGGAAGUCACCAAGCUAGCUGGUGGCGGAAGCGUAGCUGCUGGGCCUGGAACAACAGAGGCAGAAAGAGAAGCAUCUGGAGCAGAAGCAUCACCAGCACCAGAAACCCCGAGCUCAUUACGUGCAACCCGUUCAAAGUCAUCUACAGCCUGAAGAUAUGCAGCAGUAAAAUCGUCCAAGUGAGUCCCCGAAAGUAGUUGAUCCACUGACGUGCCCUCCGUUUGACUGCCUUUGGUUUGCCUUAUCUUCUCAACUUCAUCAGUAAGCAUCUUCAGAGCCUGCUUAUGCUUGUCGAUUUCAUCUGAUAGCUUGGACCGUUGCUGAUUCACAGCUCCAUAGGAAUCCCCUAUUGUCUUUUGCAUCUUCAAGCGCUUUGAUCUCUCUUGUUUCAACUCUUCUCUAAGUCGGUCUGUGAUCUUCUCAAGCCCCUGGAUUCUGGUGUUUUUCUCCUUUUCUUUAUCUUUCAAAGCCUGUUCAUCUGCAGCAUCAGCAGUUUUUUUCCCUUGUUUAGCAUCUUCCAACUGUUUGGAGAGAGCUUGAUUCUCUCUAGCCAAAUCAUCUUUUUCCUUUGAUAAGCUGUCUGCUCUUUCCUUUUCCUUCAACAAGUUGCUUUCAACCCUUUUCUUCAUUAGACCUGUCAACUUUUUAUGUUUAUCAACGUCGGAUCUCAGCGAGGCCUCAGUUUGCAGAAUCUCAUUGAUUCUCGAUUCUCUCUGACUCAAUUCUGUUCUGCUCCUUGACAGGUCUUGCUCUAAGUCAGCUAACAGAUUCUGCUGCUCAGACAUGGCUUUCUUAACUUUCUCCAGUUCUUCAUUUUUUUCUCUCAGAUUCACCUGCAUCUGUGAAGCAGCUUCUUUUAGACUUGCAUAUUCUUCUAGGUCAAAAUUCUUAUACCUCUCAACCAACUCACUAACCCUCCUCUCAAGCUUCUCUUUAUCCAGCUUCAGCAUUUCAAUCUCUUUCCUACAAGCUUCUACAUCAGCUUGUCUUUCAUUAAGAAGCUUCUCCAGAUCCUCUAAUUCAGUUUUCAUCUUCUGGGCAGCUUGGCGAAGUUUCUGGCAUUCUUCAACAUUGUGCUUGUUCUCCUCUCUCAACUGCAAGUUGCUUUCACGAAGUAAGUUCAAUUCUCUAACCUGAAGCUGCAGUGUUUUGAACUCCUCUUCACUUAAAACCUGAGCUCUUGAACUCUCCCGCUCAGAAUUAAGAGAUGCUUCUGCUACCUCCACUCUCCUCAGAGCAUUCUCAAGCUGUGAUUGCAACCUAAGUUUUUCCUGUCUGAGCAAAGAAAUUUCUGUUUCUGCAAUUUCCUUGGACCGUCUUAGAUAAUUCACAACAUUCAUCAGCCCGUCAUCACCCUCGGCCACUGUGCUUCCAGCAGAUACACCUGAAGAUACACGGUCCUUCUCAGCCAGUUUAAUAUACAAACCCUCAAGCCGGUCCAGUAAUAUUUUGUUCUGUUCAUUAGCCUCAGUGUAUUUCUUCUCAGCUUCAGUUUUUGAUACUUCUAGCACCGACAAUUCCGCCUCCCACUUGGCCUUCAAUGCAUUAUUUUCGGAUUUUAGAACAUCUGACAAUUUACGGAGCUCAGAUGACUCUUCUUGUAAGGUUGCCAAAGCUUGAGAUGUUCUAGUCAGUUCUUGAAUUGUUUCUGACUGCAGAAUUACCUGUCUCUCAUAAUUAUCUUGAGCAGCACGCCAUCUUUGAUGCUCUUUGUCCAAAUCAUCUUUCAAAGCAGAUAUUUGAGCCUCCAAAUUUGAGAUUUGUGACGUCUUAGCUGAGGUAUCUUCUUUCAGACUGGAUAUUUCAGCUAGAGCAGCAACAACAGCUUCUUCUUUUCCUGCAGUUGCGGAAGCUGCUUCAAUUGACUUCAAAUUACAUUCUCUCUCAAGCUCAUCAACAUUCUUCCUAAGCGCUAAUGCUUCCUCUUCCAUUGAUUUUUUCACUCUAUCAGCUUCUACUUUGAGGUUCUCAUAAGCCAAUUCCAUCUGCUUUAAUGCUUCUUCAUUUGCCUGAGCUAUGCUUUUAUAUUGCAGCAUAUGAUUUUUGUUAACCUGCACCUCCUCUCUGAGUCUUUUAACUUCUUCAGCAGAAUCCAUGUUGUCAAAAAGUUCAGUAGAAGAGGAAGGACCGCCUUCAUCAGCUCUUUCAGAAACCUUUUUUUGAAAAGCUUGCAAUUUUUCCUCUAAAUCAGCAGAUCGCGCUUCAGCAACAACAACUCUAGCUUCAGCAGCAGCUACAGAAUGUGAAGUGCUAGUCAUUUCCUUCCUCAUUUCCUCAAUUUGUCUCAAUGCAUUCUUUAGAGCAUCUUCUCGCUCAGGUAUAAGGUUUCGAACAUUAUCACGCUGUUCUUGCAAUUCUUUCUUAGCUUCAGCCCAUUCUUUCUCAAUAAGCUUGAUAUACUCUUCUUGCUUUCUCCUCUCAGCAGCUCUUGCCUCGUCACGAACGUUCUCAGUACUCUGCAAUGUAUCUAAAUGGACCUGCAAACUAUGCACCCUUUGUGACAAAUUACGUACUUCAUCUGAAGCUCUCUUUUCGGCAUUUACCAGCAUACCCUUUUCAUCCUUUAGAAUAGACACCUCCAGUUUCAGCUUUUGAGAAAGUUCCUCAGCAGCAUUCAAUGACUCGUAACUUUCUCGCAGCUUCUUCUGAUAGUCAACUACCAACUGUGAGAACUCAACAUUUCUCGUGAUCACACCAUUAUGCUCCUCUUUCUGGUGCUCAAAAUCUUUCAUAUACCUGUCAAGUUUAUCUCGAGCAAACUGUGCUUCCAGAGCUGACUUAUCCCGCUCUGAUCGAAGAGAAAUAAUCUCGCCCCGUAAUCUUGACAACUCUUCUUCAAGACAUUUUACACGCUCAAAAGCCCGUUCUUGUGCUCUCCCUAAAACUUCAUGUGAAGAAUCAGGUAAAAGCAUCACUUCCGGCCUUUGAACCUCUGCUAAUUUUUCAGAUUGAGCAUCAGAAGAAACAACUGUAUGCUCUUCAAAGAGCUUUUUGUACAUCGCCACAGAUGCAUGAAGUGAUUUAAUCAUCGUAGCCUGCUCAUCUGCUUUUGCCAGUACUGCAUUAACCUGGGAGGUAGCUUUGUCAACAUGCUUCUGAAGCUCCUUCUCAUACUUCUCCUUCAACUCUGACUCUCUGUUCUCAAUCUGAUCGGUAAGGCUCCGAACUAGGCCUCUUAGCUGGACAUUUUGUUCAACCAGGCCAUUUAUGUCCUUGUAGCUCAACAGCCUUCCAACAUCAUCAGCAUUAGAUUCAGCACCAAACAUAAUUAAAGAACUUGACACCACAGAUUUGUCAUUUUUAGGUCCCACCGAUCCACCACGGAGUUGUAUAUCACGACAUUCCUUUAAAAGCACUGUCACCUGUUCCUGGAGGUCAACUAUCUCUGCCUGAGCAACAGCAUAAUCACGAUCACGCCUUCUCAUAUCAGCAUUGAAUUCCUGAAUAUUCCUCUCUAAAGCAGCUUGCUGAGAGAGGGAAUGCUGCAGCUUUUCACUUAGCACAGAGUAAGCAUCUUCCAAUCUUUGAUGCUCCGCUCGCUCAUCCAAGAUAACUCCAGCUUUCUCCUCUAUUUCACAGAGUACUCGCUCCAGUACAUCUUGAGCUUGUUUUCUUCCCAAUUGUUCAUGUCGUAAUGCAUCAACAGUUUCCUGAUAUUUGGUGUACAUCUUAGACAGACUCCAACCCUCCCGAAGAAGUGAAGCGGCUAAUGCGGUUCCUGAAACACCAAUAGGCAGACUAGGUACGACCAUCCGAUCAUCCUCAACCAUGUCACCAGCUUCAGCUGAGUUUGGCAAUGAUUCACUAGAAAAAUAACUCAAAGGAAGAAGCUUCAAUGUAUCUUCUCCUUUUUUUAAUUCCGCUUCACUUUCCGCAAGCUUAUUUUUCAAACAUGCAACCUCCUCCUUUAGUUCUAUCUUUGCA